UACUACCAAGAGACAGGGUCAAGAUGAUUGUGUUAUUGGUGACAUUGCUUCUUCUUCAUCGGGGCUACACUGCUGUACCAUUGAUGCCGGUUCAGGCCGGAGAAUCUGUGACCUUCCAAUGUGCUCUGCC